CCUGGCUGCGAUUUGGUAGGUAAUCUGGACUGAUAGAAACAACUCAAUCUUCAGAGGAAAACCGCCCAAUAUCACCUGGUCUCUUGAACGUGUCAAACUACUGAUCAGCAAUUGGACCACAAUGCUCUAAUGUCUCUCCUGCAUCUCCUUCCUCUGUUUCUCUUUCUUUUGUUACCUUGCCUUUUCUUUUCGCUUUUCACUUUUCACCUUUUUGCCGGUUUCUCGGAGGCCUAAGCUGCUUUCAACCUGUACGCUCAGUUCAUUUGACUUAAUGAAUGAAGCAAGUAGCUUACUACCUGUUUCCCAAAAAAAAAAAAAAUUACAUUAUUUACUUUCUAUCAAGCAAAUAUCAAAACUAAAAAAAAUACUCCAUUUUCACAAUUAUACAAAUAAAUAACAGAAGGAAAUUAAUUUUUAUCUAAACUCUACUUUGUCCGAAAAUCUUCUCCAACUUGAACUUCACGUUCAGUGAAACGAACAUUUCCUCACUAACAAAAGUAUCUUUUGAGCCGAUCCUCUGCAAACUAAAUUUUUUUUUACUAAUUAUUAAUAUACCAACACUACAACAAAAACGGUCUAUAGCGACACUUUUAAAUGUAGGUACAUGUCAAAAAAGUGCCGCUAGAUAAAAUUACCGACACUUUUAAAAAGUGUUGCUAUAUGUGGGGUCGCUAGGUAUAUAGUGACAGUUAAAGAGUGUCGCUAUAAGCUAAAAAAGUGUUGCUAAUUUACCAACACUUAUUUGAGCAUUUAGCAACCGCCUAAACUCUAUCUCGUUAGCUGCGGUGGCGGAGGGGGAUGACAGUAAAGGCUCUUCGUCUAGAAUUUCAGUGGAUUGAGUGAAGAGAGAAGAAAAGAUGGCAAUUAAUUUUUCUUUUUUUUUCUUUUCUGUUUGUAAUCGGGUCAAAUGGACUGGGUGUGGUGGGUUGAGUAGAGUAAUCUUUUAUUUUUGGUUGGAUUGGGCUUUAUAUUUAGGCAUUAGUAGAUGUGUUUUUAAGUUUUAGCAUAAAUGGGACACUUACUCAAAAGUGUCCCAAACAUGUGUCCCUAUAACCUAAUUCUAUUGUAGUGCAAUAAAAAUUUAUAUAAUAUCUCAAUCUAUGUGUAUAAAUUAAUUCAAAGAAAAAUUUUCAACUAACAGUCUAUAAAAAGAGGACGUAAUAUAUGCAAUACUCCGUGGGGGCAAGAAGACACAUACCACAGCUUUUUGAAGUUAAAAAGAGGUGGGCUAAAAUAAAGUUGCAACACUUUUUUCCUAGUGCGCGUACGUGCUCCCUAAUUUUUGACCCAUUGACAACGCCUUCAUCCAAUUAACGCGCCGUGACGUCCCCUUCGUGCCUACGUGGCGAAAGCGAGAAAAGGUUGUGCAACAGCACGACUGCUUUUACAAUCCAACCCCACUUUAUACUUACCAGCGAACAAAGUUGAGUUACUUAUGGAUAAUUUUUUGAGAAAAAAGAUAACAUGUUACCCGCUUUAUUUAUAAAGAAAUUAAAUUAAGCUACAGUGGUGAAAUAAUCGAGGCCUCAAGCGAAAGAGGAAAAAAAAAAAAAGAAGAAGAAGAAGAAGAAGAAGAAGAAGAAGAAAAUUUAAUAGCUAGCAGGGACGAGCAGCUCUAUUAUUAGGGAGGAGCAAUUCCCAGUGCUUCGUUAAAAGAGUCAUCUUUUGAGUUGUAGACUUAAUAGCAUAUCUCAUUAGAGAAUUCACUAGAACCGUGCAUCUCAAUUUUUUUCAUUCAUAUAAUUAAGCUGAUACAUAAUUACUUGCAUCUUUCGUUACUUACAUUAUCACCCGAGCUAAAUUCAUUACUUGCAUCUUUCCUCGUUAGAGUAAGAUGUACAAUUAUGGAAAAGAAAUUAUAAUAUAUGUAAUAUAAUUUGUUACUACAUUAUCACCCGAGCUAAAUUCCCAAUGUACCGGAAAUAGAACUUCCAAAUUGAUGGUAUCUUUUUAGACUAAAUUACAGAAAAUAUUUAUGUCAAAAUUUGAUUUUUUAUUUUUCUCCCUGUCAUUUAAAAAUCUACACUUUGCUUUCUUAUAAAAUAAAAAUUGUUCACUUCACCUGCUGCCGUUAAUAAUCCAUUAGGAUUCCGUUUAUAAAAUACUACUCUAUUUUUUUAUGCCAAAAAUAUCCUCAGCAUUCUCUCAUGUUGCCUCGCCCUCCUCUGCUUUGCCGCCUCACAGUCUCGCCCUCCUCCGCCGCCUCGCCCUCGCCCAUAUCUCUGUCCACGCCCACAAACACCCCCUCGCCCUCCUCUGUCGCCUCAUCCUCGUUCUUGCCCUUGCCCGCCGCAAUUUUCUCAAUUUCUUUCCACCCCGAUUUUUUCGCUACUGUCGCCGAAAUGGAAGGGCGACGAGAGGGCAGAGGACAAAGGGAGCAGGCGGAGAAGAAAAUGAAGACGAACCCGGCCGAUCAAGACGGGAAAAAUCGAAGAGAGGAGGCGGCGGAUGAGCGAGAUGAGGGAGGAGACGAAAAUGAUGAGAGGUAAAUUGGUCAUUUUGUCAUCACAUUUCACACCAUACCCUAUGUGAACAUUUUUUAUUUCACAAAGGGAUAAAGUGUAGAGUUUUAAAUGACAGGAAGAGAAACUGAAAAUCGAAUUUUGACAGGAAAGUUUUAUAUAAUUUACCCUUCUUUUUAAAUUAUUUUUUCCGAAAGAUUCAAAUACUUAUCUUAAUUUCCGGCUACAACAUAAACUUCAAAUAUUUUUUCCACUAAACUCACUUUCUCCAAAUAUAUAGUAAAGCUAUUUCAGAAACCACACCAACUGGGCACUCGCUCCAUCUAUAAAAAGCCAAUAAGGGCUAUACAUGAGCAACCCCAAACCAAAGCUAAGAACAAGGUUCUGAAGUUUUUUGAAGUACUCGAUCCAUGGCCGACUUCGCCCAGCAGCUCAAGGCCAAAUUCUCUUACUUCUUUCAACGCGUCAAGAGCUUCAGCUUUGGUAACAAUAAAGAAAAUAAAGGUGGAGUAUAUAUAUAUAUAUAUAUAUAUAUAGUUCGAAUAAAUAUUUGUUCUCCUGUUUCAUGAAGUUAUCAUAUGGUACGUUUUCCAUCUUUCACAUUAUUUUAAUCGAUAGAUCUAAUGGUUUCUUGUAUUAUUUCAUCUAUGCAUGCAGGAAAUGAGAGUAGUAGUAGUAGUACUGUAGCCAGUGUACAAACGACCUCUGCUGUGACUCUGGUGAUGCAUGCAUGCAUAUCUGUUGUUCAUUAGAAUAUAUUGUUGAAUACUUUGUGAAUCUAAACCAGAAAAAACCUAGGGACAUAUUUCAAUAACGUUUCUUACAACACACACACACACACACACAUAUAUAUACAGCUCUAAAUUCCAAAGCCUAGGUGAGUUGAGCUAAUGUGUUUUUAAAAAUACAUGAGCAUUUGUGUUAUAAAUUUUUAACCGUCGAAUUGCCUCAAGAUCUGUACAGUACUAUUAUUGAUAUGCCCCGUUAAGCUUCUUUAACUCGUGAUCCAACAGUUAAAAAAUUACAAGCGCGUUUGAAAGCACAGAGCUCAACUCUCAAAAUUGUUCUUCUUAGGUUGAAAUAGAGUAGCUUAUUAUAUGUUUAGCACUCUUUUAUUCUUAUUAAUCGCUUUGACAUUAGAGCUUAUUGAUUUGGAUGGCUCAUACAUAUAUGCAGAGUAGGGAGAUUAUUACUGAGGAAAAGGUUUCGUCCCACAUGCAUGUUUCCAACCCACCUAGUCCGGAACACAAUUGAAAUAUUGUACAAGUAACAUGGUGCUGCAGCGACGUGACUAUGGUUCAUGGUUGAAGUUCACGUCUUAUAAAUAAAACAUUAUAUAUUAAUGUCUACAAGUUCAAAGUUCUCUUAACUAGGUUCUUAGCAUGCGUGCGUGUGUAUAUAUAUAAUGCUAGUUUGUUUUUCUUUGGUUUGUGGAAGAGUUGUUUAAUUAGCUUCAGUACUGCUUUUGUAUGCAUGUAAUUAAGCUCCAAAGCUACAUAAGAUGUUGGUGUGUUGCAUUUGCACUUAAUUAAAAAUCAAUUGGCGUUGAGUGGUGCUAUAAAUAUACCUUAUAUGGAUUUAAUGUUGUAGACCACAUAAUAAGCCUUGUCACGCUCACGAUCUAAUUAGUGCCCGGUGAGAAAUACUUUCUCACACUUUCGACAAACCACACAAUCUAUUUUUAGAAAAAUGAUUUAACUUUUUGGAUAGGUUUUUCUAACAAUAACUUUAAAUAAAAGCUUAUAAUCGCGAUGAGAUAAAGGGUUCACAGAUGAGGCCAUGUUCGGGAAUCUUGUAGAAGUGGGGUGUUUGUCAAAACCAGUGUAGCUUGAUUAGUGAUAUUUAUAUAUUUUUUUAAAAAGAAGAACUAUUUUAAUGACUUUUCCAGGUUACAAGAUAUAACAAAAUAAUUUUAUUUUUCUACAGUUUAGGAUAAAACUAAAAAAGCUAAAAAGUAUGAAAUUGUAGACUGAAAUAAGAGUUAAAUAUCGUAACAAUUCAUCCUUUUCUCCUCUUUCUCUCUCUCUCUCUCUCUCUUUCGAAAUAACUUUUUUUGAAAUAUAAAAUCCAAAGUAACAAAGAGUGAUUCAAAUUCCUUAGAUUUUUUUUUUUCAAUACAAAAAAGAUUAGUUUGAGGAAGUAUUAUAUUAUUAAAAGAAAUGAAACAAAUUUGAGAAUUUUUGGGAAUCCCCAUCAAGUCAAAGUACAGAGGAGCCCAUGUGACCAUGUUGGCAUGGUAUGACGCAAAAUCCCCCUUUAGUCAUUUUCUUCAGGAGAAUCUUCCUAUUUAUUUAUUACCGCAUUAAAUUACGCAUAAAUUGCUACAAAGUUAAUCUUUUUGAAAUGGCAACACAAAGUAAAUCUCGCUUUACAAUCACAUGCUGUACUAAAUAUAGAGAGAAUCUCCUUUCAAUUAAUUAAGUACCAUGCCAAGUCACAUUAUAUAGUAACCCAGCCACAUGGGCCAACCCUUCAAAAACCCUCCACCUCAUUGAACCCGUAGGCCAUAGAAGAAACAAAGGCUACAGGUCAUCUUCACUGGCGCCAUGGCUAAGUUCACAAAGCAACUCAAGGACAAGCUCUCUUGUCUCGUUGGUCCUUUCAAAGGUUGCAGCAACGGGGACUCUCAUGAAAAAGGUACAUAAAAGCCAAAAAAUGUUUCUGUUUGCGAGAAAGAGAUGAUGAUCUUACAUAUUGAGAGCACGAAUUGCUUCGUUUUUUAGGCCAUGUUGGGGAUUUGAAUGAAUCGAAGGUGGCUUCUGUUCAGGUUACAGUUAUUUCGUGCUUGUUAAUCUUUAAUCGAUGGUCUUUUUGGAACAAAACUUAUAUGCAAAAUUUCUCUGCAGGGAGACGGUCUAAUUAACCGUUUUUAUAUGCAAUGUACAAAUUUUAAAGUAAAAAUAAUAAUUGAUUGGACUAUCUCUCGAUCAGUAGGAAAUGCUUUGUAUAAAGUUUUUUAAAAAUCCCUUUUUGCUUGGAUAUAGAGUUUGUGACUCGUGUUUUCAAAUGCUCAUUGUAGAGGGAUUCGUGUGAGUAACAUGAGAGGGAGAGGGCCGGCACUUCCGGUAGCGUCGAAGCCACCGCCGCCCCAACACAAUUAAAAGUUAUGAGUUUUGAGACUACGUACUACGUCCCAUGAUUCUACUUCCCCUGUUUGAGUGUCUCGAGUUUGUUCUCCCCGUGUUUAAGUUAUUAAGACUCAUGCGAUCAUUUUAUCCGUAAAAUGUGCUCAAUGCUUUGAUUCUCUCUCUCUCUCACACGCACACAAAGAGCCGUGGGUAAGUUGAUUGUUUAGGCCAUUUGUAACAUGUGAAGAUUGAAACAGGCCCCGCGGUUGGUUCGCUUGCAACAAAAAUACGAAAGUGUACUGUGGCUCUAUCAUCCUAUGCAUGUGAUUGCAACAAAAGGAUCGAUGGUUGUACCUUACGUGCAUUUCCAUUGAUGAGUUGAAUCAAAUAUCCCUUCGACUUGACCUUGCCUAAGCUAACCUCAAGAUAAGGGGACCAUGGGACCAGUUGGCAGGUGAAGAGCUCAAUUAUAGAGCAUUUAAAGAGUUACAGCUGCACUCCAAAUCAUAGGAGUCCUUUGAUUGAGAGCCACGCCACACUGUGUCAUGAUUCAAUGUUUCUGUUUCGUCCGCUAUCGAGUGCUCUGAUUUGAAAGGUGAAAAAUAAAAAAUGAAAAAGACCAAACAACAACCUUUGAAAGGUGAAAAAUGUUUCUCAAAACCAUAGAGAAAAAGAAAAAGGACUAAUAUUAUUUGUGUCAAAUUUGUGUAUGCUUUACCGCUUUUUCGCCCCAGAACUGCUACUGAAUCUUUAAUAUCAAAGACAACCUGGUUCACCCACCAACUUUAAUUUAUAUCCUGGUGAUUUAGUACUCAUUAAAAGGCAGAGACAUGGCCAGUGCGGAAAUAACAAUAAAGUAGCCCUUAAGCAAAAGCGAAUAAAGUUAAUGUUCUUUGCAAAGCCCAAAGAAACAAUCAAGAGUGAAAGAAAAAAAGAACUGAGAAAUGACAACACAAGUUAUAACAAAUAAUUUUUUUUUUUUGAGAGAAAGAUAGCACGCUAUCUGCUUCGUUUAUUUUAUUUAUAAAUAAAUUUAGCUAAAAACAUGAAUCAACUAGAAUUCGAACUUAGGUCUCGGAUAUCAACCACCAAGCUCUUUGCCACUUUGGUGUAGAGGACUACUACUACUACUACAAAAAAGGAACUUCAUAAAGGAACACAAUUGCACGCUUAAUGUUAGCAAUUAGACAUGUCUAUUAAUCAGGCUUUUUUUAAACAAUGGUAGAGAACUUGGAUUCGUACUAUCUGAGUAGUUUGGGUUGGGUGGGCGAGCUAGCUAUAUAUUAGGUAAUUGCUAUGCUAUUGAAAUCCAACUCGAACACAAAAGUCGACUGAAAUAUUUCUCCGAUCUUGAUUAUAACCUUUCGCUUGUUAACCAACUAUUCAAUUACUUUUAAAAGCUUAAGCUGACAGAAAAUAAUAACUCUGUACGUAACAUGGGGAGUCCCAUACGAUCUUUGCAGUUUUUACUGAUUUUGCAAAAACCGAAUUGGCGAACCUAGAACGGUUCAACAUAAGUAUGAUUGAAGGGUACAAAUACAUUUUCUUCCCGUAAAAUCAAAAAAUAAGGUUAAAAAAAGAAUAUUUGGUAUAGUUUACGACUUGUUGGGAACCAUUGCUGCCUUAGCCAAAAAAGAAUAUUUGGUAUAGUUUCAAGCUUCAUUCGAACCCAAACCCACGCGGUCGGUUGCUGUCCUCAAAAAGCGCUCCGGAAGCUUCCCCGCGCAGGCCCCCAGUAUUAGUAAUUAUCUGCCUGUGCUAAUCGAUAUCGUCCGUCGGUUCACGAUCGGACGGCGAAGGACGGUCCAGGAAGGCGAAAGGUACUGCAGUGUAAGGGAGGAGAGCCACGACGCAGGAACGGAGCCCACCAUCGCGCGCUCCCUUCGCAACUAUUCUCCCAGUCGAGGUUAUCGUUUACGUGGAUUCCUCAAACACCGCGAAUAGGACAACCGUAACAAUCUGGAUCCCGUCACCUCCCCCCCAAAUGUAAAAUAGCAGUGGGCUCAAAAUUAUAUUCUCCCCAGUACAUUAAUGUAUUGGUUUAGAGAUCAUAAAUUUGUAUUUUAUACAUUCUAUGAUGUGCAUCUGAUCUUACAAUAUUCUUUUUUGGUUUCCUGAGAGGAUAAGCUCACCUAUAGUUACCGGAUACCGUCGAUGCUACCACACUGUCAAAGAACGUACGUUUGCUCCAAUUCUGGAACGCUUCUUUCUUUGUCCUUUGGCUUCGAUUCCUCCUCGGCGAUCUCUACGCUCGCAUGGCUCGCGCCGCCGCUGCAAAGGUGAUCUUUUGCGAGAUCGCACCGGAGAGACCGGCGAGGAGGGAGGCGCCGAUCCUGAGGGUGAGGUCGGUGGGGCCCACCCCCGACGGCGGGAACAAGAUCGUGCUCCAGCCCCGGCUCUGCACGCUGCGAUCGUAUGGCUCCGGAUCGCGCGAUGGAUUGGUGAGGGCCCCGAGGGGGGACGACCCCUCGCCGUUCUUCGCGUCCCUCGCCGAUUACAUCGAGAGCUCGCGGAGGAGCCACGACUUCGAGAUCGUCUCCGGCCGCCUCGCUAUGGUACGUACGUUGGAAUUCUCAAUUCAGCUGUAAGAAUUUACCAGCUUUACCUUGCGACGCAUACUAAAGUACGUCUAUUCAAAUUCAGGAACUGUGCGCUCAGAUAUCAUGUGAGUUGCUAAGCUAGUAUAAUAAUUCAUAAUUCUAGUUAAAUCUGUUUGGUCAACGCUUGGUGAUUGGGUUCAGGGUCCGGGUCAAAACUGUUGGUUAAUUUAGCUCAACUUUCUUAGACCAAAUCUAGUUGCAUCGAUUCUGGUUACGUCUCAUCUAAGUCAAAAUCCAUAAAGUUCGUCUGUUUUGACUGGGUCCACUAAACUGUUCAGCAAGCGUUGCAUUGUGCUUGCUACAAGAGAUAACUAAUUGUUCACAAACAUGAUUUUGGUCUCUAGUUUUUGUUUAAAAAAUCCUCUUAUGCAAAAAUGAAAAAAAAAAAAAAAACCUGCUUCUAACAAUUUUGGUGCUCUGAAUUAAAUCCUGGUAGGUUGUGUUUGCGGCUGCGGUGUCCAUCGAGGUGGUGACGGGCAACACCCUCUUCAAGAAGCUGGACAUGCAAGAAAUUACAGAGGCAGCGGGGCUGUGCGCAGCUGUUGUCGCCUGCGCCGCCGCGUUCGCGUGGUUCUCGAGCGCACGGAACCGGAUCGGCCAGAUGUUCACCUUAGGAUGCAACACCUUCGUCGACUCCCUCAUCGACAACCUCGUCGAAGCCCUCUUCUACGAGGGCGAGCUCAGCGAUUGGUCUGAUGAGAUGUAGAUCGGUGUUGUGAUGUAGGCCAACGUAGUAAAUUUAUAGAUUGAAGCUGUUCGGCUGGAUCAUGCAGCGGUAGUAAAUUUAUAGAUUGAAGCUCUGUACGUAGUGGACGGCUCUGGCACGUAUUGCAGUAGAUGGUGGUGUUUGAUCUAAAUUUGUGUAAUUUAAACCGUUGAAGUAAUAGGCGAGUGCACAUGGGUUGGAAAACCCAAGAACUAGCUACCUUCUAUGUAACUUGGAGCUUUAAGUAUAUAAAACAUAGAAAAAGUUCCAUUUAGUACACAACUUGUUUGCUCGUUUGUUUCCAUCUAGCUCAGCUCCGAUUCGUACCAGGUCAAAUCAUCUAUUUGGAAAAUGGGCUAUUUUUAAACACGAACUUUAAUGUAGCGUUUGGAUUGGGAAUAAUUGGUGGAACAAUCCCUUAUCCCACUUUAUAUCCAAAUAUUAAUUUUUUAUUCGAACAGUAAUUCUCGGUUAUCUAUAAUAACUGGAUAUAAUUAUUUCCACCAACACCUCUAUUUUUUAUAUAUAACUAUCCACUAUUUUUCUUAUUCCAUAUUAUCUAUUCAAACGCUAUUUUUCUGAUCCCCGGGAACAACCCAAUUUUUAUCCAAACGCUAUUUUUCUUAUCUCCAUACUUGUAUCUAUCCCUAUAAUACCUAGUUUUUGUUUAUACCCGAACCAAACGGUACAUUUAAAUAUUUACAUUCAGAAAUGGAUCUACUUUUUGUGAAAUUGCGGUUUUACUUCCUUUAGGGGAUGUUUAGUUUACCGAGAAAUAUUUGGGCUAGAAAAUACUUUCCCAAUGUUUAGUUUUUAGAAAAAAAAAGGUUUUUCUGCAAUACCUUUUUUAAGAUUGCAUAAAAUUAUUAUGUUUUCACCUUUUGAAUUUUUUUUUAUACAAACAAAGAAAAUUUUGAAAAAUUGGCGUUUUUCAUGGGAUUUAUUUUUUCCUGAAAAUAUUGAUUCUGGAGUUUGUUAAAAAACCAAACACCACCCUUUCGCUGAUCAGAGAAGUUGACUAUGAAAAAGUGACAUCAUAGCUCGGUCCACUGCGACGAAGCUGACUCAGAGGCUUAUGCCCAAUAAAAUAAGCCCGGUUCAUUGAGCACCGCAUCGUGUCCCUAAAUUAGCCCGUAUGCGAAAUAUCCAAAAGCUUUUUUUUUUUUAUUCUUUAAGAAAGAGAGCUAGAUAUUUUGUUUCUUUCUUCUUUUUUUUUUAAUAAAAAUAAUAAAAUUUCGAACUUUAAAUCUCAGUUACGAAACCUCAUAGCCCACUAAACGUAUCUUGCGACGCCAAACCAUCUUGAUUACGACCAUUCGCCUCUUCUCCAGCAGAGAGUGUGGAUCGUGAUCAAGCGGUCCUGGUUCACUCGUGCACGCAUCUCGCUUCAAUACAUAAAAAAAAGAUAUAUCGAUUAUCGCAUGCAAAUUAAAUUUUCCAAUCGCUACUCUUCUCCUUCAAUCUCUUCUCUCUCUCUCUCUCUCUCUCUCUCUCUCUCUCUCUCUACAAUGCUGCUUCUCUUCGUCCCGUCCCCUCCGCUCUUUCCCGCCAAAUUCAAAUCCGAAACCCUAACCCCAUGGUAUGGCUCCCUCCGCUCCCCUCGCCUCGCACGCAGCUUUCGCCGGAUCCCCUUCCCCUCUCCACCCCGGCGGCGGCAGAGGAGCCCUCCGCCGCCGAUCUCCGCCGCCGUCUCCGUCGGCUCCGGCGAGGACGACGCCUUCACCAAAUACUCCGGCUAUCUAUUCGAGGGCGGUGCCUCCUCGGAGGCGGAGUUCUUGGAGGAGUACAACCUCCUGGCGAUCACCGCGAUCUAUCGCCGGAAACCCUUCUUGGUCCUCCGCCGCUUCGUCCAAAUCGGCACCACGUUUGGGCGGUGGUUCGCCUUUAGGUACCUCGAUGGCGUGCUGGAUCGAUCGGAUGAGAUGUUUAAGGUGUUGAUUUCCUAUCUGAUGAUCUGUUUUCUCUGUCUCGAGAUCUUCUUUGCCUGAUGUUUGAUUAGGGUUUUCGAUUUCUUGGUUGAUUGCAGAUUAGAGCUGCGGAGCUUCGGAUGAUUCUGCUAGAACUCGGUCCGGUAUGUUUCUUGGUUCAGUUUAGCGGAUUAGUCUUGUAGUUAGGUAAUAGUGGUUCUUAUGCUCUAUGAGCUUGUGAAAAAUGCUUCUUCUGUCUCAGAAGAACAAGUUCAACUCUAGAUUUUGAUAUUGAAUUCAAUUAGAAACCAAGUCCUUGUAAUUCCUCAAAAAUUGGAGGAGUCUCAUGGCAGGUUGCUGCUAAUUUGAAAACGUGUUUGUUGAUCUAUGAACCACAAUCAAAUGAACAUUAGUGCUUAUUGUUUAGUUUUAAUUUAUAAGUGCUAAAUAUAAAUGUGGUGGCCAAUGUGUUAUCUGUUAUAUUCUGACUUUUAUGGUUUCAUCCAUAGACUAUUAUUACCUAUGAAAACUGUUUAUUUCUUAAUUAGUCCAUAUUCGCUGUUGUUUCUUAUUAUUUGGCUUCAUUGACUUUUCUAAGGCUUUUAUUUUGAAUAAUAGUUUUCAAAUAUUUCUUCACUGACAGGCAUUCGUUAAGAUUGCUCAAGCUGUCUCAUCAAGGCCAGUAAGUUGGAGAUUCUCACUUAAAUGAAUAAAAAGCAAUGAAUUUGGUAGUGUUAUUUAUAAUGACCUUGAGGAUCUUAUCUCAGAUUAAAUUUUUGUGGUUUCGUCUUUACACAUCUACAAUACUUGUUUGAUAUACUUGAUUUUGGUAAAUGUAAUUGGAAUAUACUUGCGCAUUAUUUUCAUAUGUAUUUAGCAAAUCUCCGAAGAAUAUUGUCAUGCUAAUGUUCUCAAAGCUGCAAUUUGAACUGUAAUCGAAAUAGUACCAGCAUGGAAAUCUGCAACUUAGCUAGCUAAUAGGAGGCUUCGAGUAGUUUUGUUUAUUCACCAGGAAUGACUUUUAACACUAAAGAUCUGAUUGAAAAGUAAUGCGCUAAGAAAUAGGUAGGUCUUAAUUAAUGAUGUCGUGGGAGAUGCUACGCCAGUUGAAAUUUCCAGAUUAAAUUGAAGUAUUAAUGUGAAAUAGACUACACUGAGGGAGGUUUUUCUUGUUGACUUCCUUUGACUUAUGAUAUUCCACAGGAUGUGAUUCCACCUGCAUAUCUUGACGAGCUUUCAUUGUUACAAGAUCGUAUAGCGCCCUUUUCAACUGAGGUUGGUUUCAAUAUAAUAGAGAAAGAGCUCGGCUUGCCAGUAGAUAUGCUUUAUUCCGAAAUCACACCAGAGCCAAUUGCUGCAGCUUCCCUCGGGCAGGUCCUUUUUUUUCUAUUAUUUAAGUGAUACAUAAAUCUUAAAGUCCAUCGAGAAUUUGUCGUCAUCAGAUAUCACAAGUAGUACCCUGGAUUAUUUAUAGGUUUACCAGGCCAGGCUUCGUUCUUCUGGGAAAGUUGUUGCUGUCAAAGUGCAAAGGCCUGGCGUUCAAGCAGCAAUUUCAUUAGAUAUCUAUAUUCUCAGAUAUGUUGCAGGACUUGUCAGGAGAGUUGCUAAUUUGAACACAGAUCUUCAGGUGAUUCCCCAACUUUAUGUUUUUUCACCAGUUUGCUCAUAGCUGAGUCAAGCUGCAUAUUAAGACUCUCUUCCACAAUAAAACUCAACUUUCCUUUUUUUGUCCAGCUUUCUGUUUUGUUUUCUGAGGUCUCUGGUUAUACAUAUUUGGGAUCUUUAUAUGCAGGCUGUACUUGAUGAGUGGGCAUCAAGCCUCUUCCGGGUAUAGUUUAUCUCUCAAUGUUAUCUUUAAAACAUUAUUUUGCAGUUCGUAGCAUAGUAGUUCUUUGUCAUCAUUCUACUAUUUAAGCAGAAUUAUAUUCUGAUAUGUAGCGAACAUGUGCGCUUGUUUCGUUCAGGCACGACCUUUUCCACAGUUGUUCUGUCCCAAAUUCUUUGCUGUCAUGUACACAGCUGGGCUAUAAUCUUGCUGAAUUUCUGAACUAUAUAGGCUGUUCUCUUGCACUUUCUUGAGAGUAGUGCUUGCUAGCUCAAUCAGUCAUGGCACUGUGAUACUGUGUUGUGAUUAUGCUUGAAACUUUGUUAUCCUUAAAAUGUGCAAAAAUUAAAGCAAUAACCACCUUACCAGCAAGAUAUCAUGAUUCUGAUAUGGAGCUUACAUAUCAUUUUGUACCUUUGAUAAGGUACAGAAAACUAUGAUAUGGCUAGAAUGGGAAUAAACAGGUGUCACCAUCAGCAGCAAUAGUAAAAAAUUUGACUAUAAGGUAGACUAUAAUUUUUUUUCUUUAAUAAUAUUGGGAGCUUGAUUCCCUACAAUUUAAGUCCCUAAACUGAGUGCGCCCUUACUGGACUCGAAACCAUCCCCUUGCCCAGACCCUUCCAAUGCCUCGAAUUUGGAAAUUCUAAUCAUUUGGCAAGGAUAAAAUUUGACAUGGAUUUUCAAGACAAGCUUGCUGGAAAAACUUGUAGAUGAUUAGUUCUUUUCAACUUCUUUCUGUAAAUCUUCUUGCGUGAGCAUAUAAUCUCUAUUGUGAGAGACACAAUUCGAUGCAAAAUGUAGGAUUUCUGCUUUUUGAUCUGUGGUUUGUUUGGAAAGCUUUCUAUCAUGUUUAAUAGAAUUGGCUCUCUUUGUCCCAAAUUUUAUUUGGUUUGAAGUCUCUUGGGCAUACUCUUAGAUCUUCACAUUGAAUACAGGUAAAUCACAUUUAAUGCAGGAGAUGGAUUACAGGGCUGAAGCAAGGAAUGGAGCGAAGUUCAGGUAUUUUGUUUUUGAAGCAAUGUUGCAGUCUUUAAGGAAGUCUCACGUAUUAUUGUUGUAACAAAUAUUGACUUCCAUAAUGGUAUCCUAGGCUUGAUUGGCUAUGGGACAGGUUUCUAAGAAAAAUUUUUGAAUUCUCAUAUUUGUGGUGUAAUAUGCUAAUAACAGAUGAACUAUGUUGUAAAGAUUGUGAGCCGACCGUUAAGCAUACUUAACCGGCAAUUGUAUUAUGUUUGUAAGAACUAGAAUAUUAUAAUGAAUUUAUUGUUAUAUGUUAAUUAGGGAGCUUUACGGAAGAUUGAAAGAUGUUAUGGUGCCGGAAAUGUAUAUGGAGCAGACUAGUCGACGAGUCCUCACCAUGGAAUGGGUGGAGGUGCACUCUAUAGAACUUUUCAUUUAUCAUUUUUAAAUGCACCAGAGAUAAACAAGGUUUGUGUUUCUCAUUAUUGUUUUCCUUCUUGUAGGGGAAGAAACUAUCUGAAGUUAAAGAUAUUUAUUUAGUUGAGGUAUAAAUUCACAUAAAAGUGAUACUUGAGUAAACUUUUUCUCCCGAAACUUAAAAUGUAUGCAGCCAUCCUACUUUUCUUAUGCUAUUUUUCAUGGGAUUUGUAACUUUCAGGUAGGAGUCUAUUGCUCGCUUUCUCAGCUUUUAGAUUAUGGGUUUUAUCAUGCAGACCCUCAUCCUGGAAAUCUCCUGCGAACAUCAGAUGGGAAGCUAGCUUACUUAGGUAUACUUCUACUAAAUGAUGUUUGCUUUAACUCGAACGGGCUGGCUUUUGCACACCUGCAUUUGCAUAUUGAACCUUGUUUUUAUUAGUCGGGCGUGCUCAGCAUCCUUUUUUUUUUUGUUCCUUUUUUUUGUUUCUCGAGAUUGCUGCAUGCUACUCAUUAACAUGUUUGACAUCAAUUAUUGCUUUGGUGUUACAAAAAAAUAACUAUACAAACGUAAAUUUUUUUUUGUUAGAAACUAUAUUUAGGUUGGAAGUAAAUAAAAAAAUAUGUGCAAGCUAAGAUAUUGCUAACUUUAAGCGGUCCAGAAAAAGUAGUAAAUGAUGCUAAAAGCAACCUACAAAUUCCCCUUUUAUGCCAAUUGGUGCACAUUUCUCUGCAUCAGAUUUUGGAAUGAUGGGUGAAUUCAGACAAGAACUUCGGGAUGGAUUUAUUGAAGCUUGUCUUCAUCUUGUUAACCGUGAUUUUGAUGCUCUGGCAAAGGACUUCAUUACUCUUGGGUAAGCAUCUGUUCUGAUCUACAAGUGUCAGUAGAGACUUUAAAUCAUUUUAUUAGCUUAUCAAGAACUGCAUAUAUCUUGUUGCAAAUUACUUGUGAAUAUGGUCAUUAUCAUGCUAUCAGAAUCUGAACAUCAUAUUCAGUCAUGAAAAAUGUAAUUAGCUUAUUUGAUUAAGAGACUCUUUUGUAAGAUUUGCUUGCUCACUGCUGAAGUAAUCAUUAGUAUUUUGUAGGGAACAUCAGAUGCCCUAUGUGUCUUGCCACUGUAUGAUGUGUGCGACCAGUCAUCUAUGUCUUUUACUUUGUUCUGAUAUUUGAUUUAUAUCUAACAGACUUCUCCCUCCAACUACCCAGAAAGAUGAAGUUACGAAGGCAUUGACAGGUUUUCUCUCUUUGCUUAAUUUGGUAAUUAAAUCUCACAAUUCUGACUUAGAUUUGGAAGUAUUGGCCUUAAAAUCUCUCUUGAUCUACUUUUUAUCUGUUGCUUUUUCAUAUAGCUGAAUAUUUACUAAACUGCUUAUAUUUGGCUUCAGAUGUGUUUCAAAAUGCUGUGAAUAAAGGAGUUCGCAAUAUAAGCUUUGGAGAUCUCUCUGGGAAUCUUGGGCGCACCAUGUAUGCUUUCUUUUGUUGAACUCUUCAGUUUCAUAUUUUAGGCAGUUCUUCUGAUUCAUCUAUUUCCUUCACAAAGAUAAAUUCAACAUCUUUCUAAUACUCUAGAAAUGUGUAGCUAUUAAACGUGAUUAAAAUGUCAAUUUGGGAAAGUAGCCUGGUUAUUGGAACCUAACUAUUAGAAGGGUUCUGUAUAGUUCCCAACCAACUGGUUACUUAUACAUUAUUUGAACUGUUAACUAAGGUAGAGAGAGACAAAACAGACUCCGUGAAUGCUUUGUUUCAUUAAUAAAGAAGUUCAACCUCUGCUUCUGCAAGGUUAUAUGACUUUUUAUUAUUCUUAUUUAUCUCUGUUAAAUUAUGAGAAAUAGUUGUUUUUCUCCAAAAACUUAAACUAUAAGAAAACGGUGUUUUUUAAUAUUUAUAUUCACACUCCCCCUCACCUCUAGACUUGAGACUUUUUGGUAGGCUUAAGACGUGGACUUAAAUUAAAUGGGAGAAAAUUAAAUGAAGUUAGGAGCUUGGCAUGAUUCGAACUCAAGACCUCUUGCUCUGAUCUCAUGUUAAAUUUUGAGUAACAACCGUUUCUCUCCAAAAGCUUAAGCUAUUGGAGAACAGUGUUUUAAAUAAUUAUAUUCUCAAUCUCACAGAUCUCAUGAAGAAAAUCUUGGCACCUUGAAAUAAAUAAAUGUGGUGCUUUGCAACUGUUAUGAAAAUUUCAUACUUCGUUUGUGCCUUCUCAAUUUAGUAAUAACUGAUAUGGACAAUCAAAAUAAUAUAAGUGACUCAACAGCCUACAUGUUAUUGUGCCAUAUGUCAGUAUUCACAACCAGAUGAGUACAUUAGGGAAUUAAAUGCAUUGGCUAGAUUGGGGUUUUCAUUUCUUUGACAAGGGUUUCUUCAAGAUUCUCGUGCAUCUUCUACUUCCUUGCAAUUACCUUGCUGCAGUUGAACUUGAGAUUAUUUGGCUCACAAGAUAAAAACUAUCUUAUAUGGAUCACAAGAUGAAAGCUCCUCAUAUAUAAUAAGGAAAAACGAGAGUCUCAACCUGAAUCGCUUUGAGAGGCAUGCUAGAACUCAAAUAUCAGUACAUAAUUGCAAAUCAAGGACCAUUAAUGAAAAAAUUCCUCUGAUUUAUCAAGUAGCUUUUCCUAUCUUGUUUGUAAAGAAUCAGAUUUAUCUAUUACAUUUGGUAUUUCAGUGGUCCUAUCCAUUAAAGUGUGGGAGGAUCUCUAAAACUGUGCAUCGCAUCUUGUAGAUAAAAAUGAAGUUUUGGAAUUAUAUCUAUACCUUCAGUUUUGGUUAACAUACUUCUGCAUUGGAUUAUUAUUUUUAGUUUUCUUUUCACUGUUAAUUCAUUUCCUUCAUACCUUUACCUUUGUGCUCAGGUACAAAUUUAAGUUUCAGAUACCCUCAUAUUUCUCUCUCGUCAUUCGGAGGUAAUAAAUGAAUUGUUAAAUUGCUAGAGAAAAGGCACUUCCCCCCCUGACAAUGUUAAAAUUCUAAGAAGAAUGAAUAUCUUCUUUUACAUCAAUUUGUUGCUCAAGAGUCAAGACACAGUCCACUUUCAUGUUAUAAUGCUCAACUUUUCAGCCUUGCUGUUUUAGAGGGCAUUGCAAUCAGUUUCGAUCCAAAUUACAAAGUUUUGAGUAGUUCAUACCCAUGGAUUGCAAGAAAAGUUCUCACUGACAGCUCACCCAAGCUUCGAGCUACUUUGCAGACUCUCCUUUAUAAGGUUAUUUUUUUUUGUAUCUUCAUUUUCUUACCAAUUUGGUGAUUCGCAUGAGUUAACAACAUUAUUCUUUUGUUCAGAAUAGUUACAGCUUCUCAAAGCGUAUCUUUUCUAGAGUUCUGUCUAAGCACUUCUACUGCAAAAUAAAGUCUUUCAAACUAACCAUUUGUUUAUGUUAUCUCAGGACGGUGUUUUCCGGAUUGAUCGUCUAGAAUCUUUAUUAACAGAGGUUAUUUUCAUACUUCCUUAUAUGAUACUAUAUUUGAUUUAUUUAUUUGUCUAUCAAAGUAACAUGCUUGUUUCUUCUUGGGGCUCUUUCUUGGUAGAAAGGACUACCAUAGGCUGUAUGCUCACUCCCACGGACCACACUUUGGUGUAACUGGAUAAUAACUUUUUAAGCUUCUUUUCUUCCUUUACUAUUUGUCUAAUAAAUCUUUUUUCUGAGAAAUUUGAUUUCAUAUAAUUGUUUUAAGAAAUCUUGAGUGGCUUUAAGUGAUGUGAGUGAAGUAAUAUUCUGAAAUUCUGAGCGGCAGUUACUGGCUUCUCAGACCAAAUGAGUUUAAGGUCGUGGGCAUUUUUAAAACGAGUUCAAGCCUGAUGCUUCCAAAGAAUGGCAAAAAAAAGAAAAAAAGAAAGAAAGAAAGAAAGAAAGAAAAGAAAGUUAUUGCCUCUUUAUAUGUCCAACUGCCUUAGCUUUUCUGGGGUGAUAACUGGACUGGCAGGUUGACAAGCAGGUCUACGAAGCUAUAUCAUUUGAUUGACGCUGUGUAUUUGACAGUUUAGUGAAUCAGAAAAGCUCCGGUUAACAUCAGGCACUGGUGCAACUACAGGAAAAAAAAUGUGCAUAUAACAUCUGCUAAAAGAAAUGCAAGCUCGUAGAUAAUGGAGUAUGUUAGCACAUUGAUAUGUCUCUAUAUCUUGAUACUGAACAGCUAGCCAACUGAUGAGUGGUAACAUCAUGAUGAAUGCCAAUCUAACCUUUUGAUAGUAUCAUAUGGUUCAAUCUAUGUAUUUGCUUUGUUGUAAGAUAGUACUUGAGAAUUCCAAAUGUCUCUAUACAGUACCUCAACAGACUUUGGCUUGACUUAUUUUGCAGUCCCUUCGUGCAAGAACUGAACAGUCCCUUGUUAGAGGCGAAGUAGAAGAAACUGAUUCCAGAGCUGCAAUCAAGCAAGUAAUGACCUUCACAUUGACUGACAAGGUAGCAUUGAAAUUGUUUUUUUUUUUUUUCACAUUAUUGAACUUUUAUAACCUUAUUAAUGAUAAUCUAUCGCAAAUGUUGAGUGCUUUCUAGGGUGCUUUUGUAAGGGAGAUAAUUCUGCAAGAGGUUGCUAAGGUAUAUAUUUUACUCUCUUGUCGAUUAGUCUGCCAAUCACUUGUUUGAAAGCAUUACAAAUUACAUACUUCAUGUGAUAACUUUUCCAUUGCUUGCUUGUGAUUAAAUUCAUGUGUGGACUGGGUAUGCUAAUGUGCUCGCUAAAGUAGUCUAAGGUCAUAAAUUUUGAUGUAUGUUAUAUAGCUAAAUUUAAGCAGAAGUUACCCAUUAGGAGAGAAUGAUGACAGGAUUUUUAAGUAAUGAAGAAAGCUAUCAUGGCUCUUAGGUUGAUGAAGAAUAUUGCAAGUCUUUUGGUCUGAAGGAUUCAUGAUUCAUGAAACUUAACCCUAAGCUCCUUCCUUAGUAGUUAUGGCAUAAAAGCUCAUACUGUUGCCUUAAUUAAAGGUGAUCACAAAUUUGUCAUCAUGGUAGAAUCUUCCUAUCAUGUAAUUACCCAUUUAAGUUGUUCACAGAAAUCUAAACAUCUAACACUAUCCGGGUGAUGGAUAUUGCUAUUUGAACUGAAGGGUUCUUAGGUAGCAUGAGGAAUUAAUUACAUUUUUUUUCUUUUUUCGUGAAGCAACUUUCCUGUUAAGUAUCAUUCGUCAUCCCAAAACAAUCAUUGUAAUGUGGUUUAUGCUUUUUGCGUAUGUUUCCUAAAGGCAAAACUGUGGGGUAAAGCAAGUCAAAACAGAGAAUCUUUGCUUCCUAGUGUGUCUCAUUUAAAAUUUUGUAGUCACUUUUUAUUAUAAGAUGUUUACAUAAGUGCGUUCUUAUAAAUUACCAAUAUUAUUCUCAUAUACAGGGAAUAGAUGCUCUUGGCAUGGCGACUUUGGACACCAUUACUUCUACCGCUGCUUCAAGAUUGCCAUUUGUCAUUUCUUAUUCAUCCUCCUCAAUGGGUCAUGAGGAUAUUGCUAACUUGCAGACAUUGCGCCGCCUUCUUCUGCUCCUAUCCAAGCUUCAGAAGAAUGAGAGUUCAACUGCAGUAAGUUUAUUAUUAUCGCAGUAGCAUCAUUUUUGACAGGUCAUGUAUCUUUAGUAUCGAAAUGAAAAUGCAUCAGAAACUUCUCACAAUACCAGAGUUGUUGGCUGUACUUUACUGAUUCAGUUAAGAGUAGGAAGAUAGAUUUAGAACUCUAGUAGUUACUAAGGAAACUCACAGCUUUUCAGGUUGUAAUUUCCGUGGCACAUUUGUGUUAUAUAAUAAGACAUUAAUUAGGAAUGAUAAACAGUGAAAAGAAUACAAUUUUAGAUAAGUUUGCAUGUCUGUUGCAAGCAAUAAUGCUUGAAGGCUAGGUACGUGGAUUACCUAAGAUUCCAAAUUUUGGAAUAACAAAAAAAUCAGUUUCCAACACUCGAAAGCACUAGACCUCUCAUCAGUUUCUAGUGGAAUUUUUGAUAUUUUAUCAUUCCUUUUAUAUAUGCAGGAAGUAAGAUACGCUAAUGCCGAGGAGAAGGAAAACAGUAAAGCAGAGGAGGUUUCUCUUGUUCUCUAUGAGAUGACAUCUGUUCAGGAGUUUCUGCCUGUUCUCUCUGUCAUACCUGAGGUAAGAAGCUACAAUACCCUUACACUAAAUUUUUUUUAAAAAAAGGAAAAAAAAAGAAGGACAAGCCUAUACAUUGGAUAUGUGCAUGUGCAUGCUCAACAGAUACGCAAGGUGUUCCGAGCUAAAUUGGAGUUUAUUAAACCUAUAAUCUCUUCUGUGGUUAGGUUCUGAUUUUCCUAUAUAUAACACUUUUUGGCUGCAGCUGCCAUCGGAGUCCCAACAACAGUUGCUUCUUCUCCCUGUGGAUUUAGCUGGCAGGCUUUUAUCUCGGGUGGUUGCAAGAACAGUCAGAAGGAUUUUCUUGUGAGCCAAUAAAAUAAAAUAAAAUGAAAUAAAAACUUUUUUGCCGAUUCAUUGCAUUGCUCACUACAAAAGUCCAUCGCUUUAUAUAAUUCAUUACGAGGAUAUAGUGCUGUAUGAGGGCCAAAGUUUACCUUCAACGUACUAGUAAUUGAUUUUGCGCAACAAUUGAACCCACCUCUCUAUGCGUAGAAAUUCUAAUAUUCUCCCAAAUAAGGGCUUUUUUUGCAAAUAGCCUCCUGACAAAUUUUAUUUACAAAAAUAGUCCCGUCCAAAAAUUAUUUGCAAAAAUGGUCCUAUUCCUGCCCCGCCAGCAUCACGUCAGCGCCACGCGGGCAGGGCGGGCCUAGGUGUUUAAGUUGAACACGGUGAAUCAUUCACCGUGUUCAAUACAAAAUUUUUGUAUUUGACACGGUGAAUGGUUCACCGUGUCCAAUACAAAUACCCCAACAAUGACUAAGUUGGAGGUAUUUGUAUUAGAUACGGUGAACCAUUCACCGUGUCCAAUUAUUUGUAUUGGACACGGUAAAUGGUUCACCGUGUCCAAUACAAAUAUUUCGAUCUUGGCUAUUUUCUAUUGAACACGGUGAAUCAUUCACCGUGUCCAAUACAAAAAUUUUGUAUUGAACACAGUGAAUGGUUCACCGUGUUCAACUUAACCAUCUGGCCCAGCCCCGCCCGCGUGGCGCUGACGUGACGCUUACGUGGCGAGGCCAAAGCCAUUUUUGUAAAUAAAUUUUUGACAGGGCCAAUUUUAAAAAAAAAAUUUGUAAGGGGCUAUUUGCAAAAAAAGCCCCCCAAAUAAGGCUGAAAAAGGUGCCUUCUAAUAAGACAGCUGUGUUUAACAACCUUUGAGAGAUUCCAUUUGUCUUCUUCAGUUCACUUGUUAGUUGCAUGAGACGAAAACCAAUGACUUAAUUUGUUUUUCCCCUAGUCCACCCAAAUGAUUUCUUCUGCUUUUAUGUCAAACGGUAGACAACAAAGCAUUUCUGGACGCCUAUGCACCCUAGUGUUUUCCCUCGUUCAGAAAGUUUCAACGAGUGCACGCUGGCAAUAUGUUUUAGCCUGGCUGGCUACAGGAGAAGCCUUGGAGUGAAAAUUUACUUUGAUUUUAUCUAUAAACUAGCUUCGCCAGCCACACCUAUCAACGUUGUCAUCAUCCUCCAAUGGAAAAUAAGCUGGAGAAUUUCUGGGGCAGAAUCAUUUGGAGCAGCUCUCGGAAUUGGAGAGCUUUCACAUCUAUUUAUUCUCAUUUACAAAAGAUGGACUCAGCAGGCUGCCAUCGCAAAAAUUGAAUAGAUAUUUCAAAAUUAAUUUUAAAAGGGGGUGGGGUACAUGAUACAAUACGAUAACCAGGGAUCCCAUUUAGGCACUCAUCCCUGAAGGUAAUGAACUAUUUCUAACCGCGGCCUUAUCUGUAAGAAAGCUUUCAAUCUUCACAAACGCCUGCACGAGAAAGCAACAAACCGUUCGUUAGCUGCCUGUUCAGCAAUACAUUUACUUGGUAAAGAAAUUUAAAGGACCAACCUACUUUGCUAAAGCAAAUAGAGCAAUAAGUUGAGAAGAAGGAUUGAACGUGAGAGCAUGCAUUAUACCUCUAUAGCAAUAGCAGUUGGUGUGAGAGCAGAAACAUCUUCGUGGCCCUGCUUUGUUGCAAUAUCUGCAUUAAUGGUUGAAUAAUUAAUGGUAGGGUACACCAUGCUAGUGCUCAAAUAGGACCAAAAGGUCUAAUCUAUCAGCAUGUUAUACGUAACACAAUCAGUUUAUGAAGAAUAAUUGUCCUGCGAAAAUAUGCAUAUGUUUUGUAGCAUGUCUCUUUACUGUAGAAACAGAACAUCAUGCUAAAUAGAAAAAGAAAAAAAGCAGAAAGGAACAAGAAAAUUUUUUGAUUUAUAUGAUUUCAGCAAACAAUUCCAAUCUAACCAAGCAGACUCCGAAGUUCGAACUAAAAUGAGAAAAACAAAUUAGAUUGACUAACAAUAUAAUAGCAUUGUACUUUCUCUGAAACAUACGUUCAAGGGAGACUCUUGCAUCAGCAUUGGCAUAGGCGUCGCCCCUUUGCUCAGAAAGUGCAGAGAGCCUAGCAAAAGCCUGCAGCAGAGAGUGUUUUAGGUCCCAUAUCCACACUGUGCAAGCAUAGAAAAUUAAGCUUUUGUAAUCAUGAAUAAUUGACAGCAUCCAAAAAAUUAGAUACCAAGACGUUGCUUAUAGGCAUUGCAAAAAAUACCAUUGAAGAUAAAGGCUGAACAAAAGUUUAGUUAUGGCUAAUAAAAGCGCCAGUUACGUUUGACAGGUAAAUGGAAUAUUAAGGUCAUGGCUACUGCAGCACAUAUAGCAGAAAUUUUAAAGUAAAAUGUUAACAGCCCAAUCGAGUUUUGAGAGGGAUAAAUCCAGUACCUUCAUGUAAGGAUCACCAGAAUCUUGAUGCAAAAGAGGGCGAGAAGCAGUUCCCACUGCAGCAAUUCGGCGUGCCAGAGCUUCCAAAGGAACAUCCAACCAAACUGUUAACCCCUGUUUCAUAUACUUCCUGAUAGUUCAUAGUAUUAAUGUCAAGUUUUUGUGAUUUUCUAGAAACAACACUAUGAUAGUUCAUCGGAUUAGCUACCAAUUGAUUGGACGAAUCACAGCACCACCUCCAGUUGCAACAACUAAUCGGCGCAUCGAAGACAAGUCCCUUAGCACUUCACUCUUCAGAAAGGGAACAAACAAAUUGGCAUGUUAGAAACCUUGCUUUUCCUCUUAUUAGGGAAAAUAACAACAGACAUCUAGUCUACCGGUCCAGCUAUUAUGAUAGUUUAAUAGUUUAAAAUUUAACAGGCAAUAACAAAUUAAGGAUUUCAAGAAAGAACAGGAUAUCGUGAUUUGGGAUCAUUCUCAAGUGUUAAGCUUUGAAGUUCGACAGCAAUGGACAGCAUGAACUACCUCAUUAUCUCUGAAGAAUGCUUCGCUAUGCAACUUAAAAAUCUGAGCAACAGAAGAUAUGCCCACAGCCUGCUCAACCAAUUUGUCACUGUAACACCAAUAGAAUGAUUAAAAAAAAUCAAUAACUAGUGCCUAAAGAAGUCCUUAAGAAAGGACUUUAAGUCAUUUGAGAAAGGGCUCUAGUAACUCUGACAGCUGACGUAAUUCUAAAAGAAAGACAAACCUGUCAAAGAAAGAAUAACCUAAAACUUCGGACAAUAUCUUUCCCACUGUAGUCUUUCCAGAGCCCAUCAUUCCUGUAUACAAGAAUCCGAUAAAUCGAGCAACUGAGUAACGAAAAAGGGAAAUGCGACCUAAUGUUACAGAGACAAUAGUUUGAAAGGAAAUCUAACCAACAAGAUAAAUACAUCGUCCAUUCAAGUAGGGCAGCACAUCUUCUGACUUUCUCUGCAGUUAAGCAAUAGGCGAUCAAUCAGUUGCUUCGAAGGAGAAAAAAACAACAGAAUGUAUCCUCUUCAAAUCGCAACAUAAAAACAAUCCAUUAACGAUUUGGUUCCUAACCUUUAGUACGAGGGCUUCAUCAACGGAGUUGUGGAUGCUCUCAGUACCUACAUCUCAUUAAAUAAUAUGAUAAGAUUAAUUUGAAAGAACAGUACAGAGAAGUUACCAUGCAUUACUAAGUCACCAGACAAACAGAGAGAUCAUAGAACACAAGUUUGUUAUUCAGACAAAAAAAAAUUAAAAUCAGUCAUAAAAUUUUGUUCAUUUCUCCCUUCAUAUGUCUCAUUCUCAAUAAGUACUAAAGACCUACACUACAAUAAAGAAAUAAGAAAGAUCGUCAAUGCCUGUAAAACCAACAUUCACAAAAAAGGGACACAGAUAUUUCUUGUAAGCAAUCCCUUAUUUCCAUGUUCAGUCAUUUUAGCCUGAAGCAAUAGGACAACAAAGAUAAAACAAACCAUGAGUUGACAUAUUAAAUCAAUGAAAUUCAUGUGUAUUCAUUUCUAGCAACAGUAUUCAUGAGAUGCAGUAGACCAAGUUUAUAUUUCUCAAGCUUUGAUACUUUGGCUAGAUAUAUACAUAGGGAAAAUAAAACUUCUAUAAUUUAACCUUCUCCAAUUACAUAAUAAUAGAUUCACCAGGACAAGAACUUACAAGAUGAAACGUUAAACAUGUAAAAAGUAUUUCUAAAACAUGGACCGAACCUUGUAACAAUAUUUCCCCUCACUAACCAAAAAUUCCCUACCGACCACAUGCAUGAUGCAAAAGAGGUUCUCUAUGGAUUUUCAGCAAACACCUAACACACAUAAAACAUUGGAUACAAAACGCAUUUGCUUGAGCCAGAGGUUCAGGUAUAUCCCAACUUGAGAGAUCUGCUUUACAACUAGUUUAAAGAGAACGCUAAACAUCAUAACGCCCACAAAUUAUGUACAUUACUAUUACUAACAAGGGACAAUAGAACCAAGGUAAAUUGCAUAGAUCAAGCAUCUGAAAGCCUUUUAGAUCAUUCUUAUGCACAUAGUUUCCCAAAUGAAUCAGGAAUUUCUUUAAAAACAAUGUAUAAUUGUCGUAAAGGCAAGAAAAUACCUCCCGAUUUCUUGUAACAGCAAGAAAUCUUCGGCUCGAGCUUUCCGGAUCGAAUCGAAACUCGAUGACACCGUGAAUCUAUCAAUCCAAGCGAUUGAACUCGUUUCUUUUCCCAAAUCCCACUCUGGAACCUCGAGAAACCCUCCGAUCUCCUCCCUCCCUUCUCCGAGCCGAUCCACGAGCUCGAUUUCAGGCUCAAAGCCGCGCUCGCCUCCAUGAUUCACUCGAUCAAAUCAAAAUAUCGGUACAAGAUUGAACGAUUCCUACCCUUUCAAAGGAACUCAUCUAGGGCUUCGUCGCCGAUCGAGAGCCCGAGCUUUGCCAUGGCUCCCGAAGCUCGAUCGAUGGAUCGAUGGCCCAACCCCGCAAUGCGGCACACGAUAGGGAUCGGAUCAUCGGAGCGGCACACGGUAGAGAGAGAGAGAGAGAGAGAGAGAGAGGGAGAGUUUUGAACUACAUAUAAUAAAGAAGGAAUAUACCCGGUCGCCUCGCGCGUUUGAGUAAAUUGCAAAUGUGGAAAUAUGAAAUGACCUAAAUAGCCCUCGCAUAUCCCUCUUGACGCCCCGCGACUGACGGGAAGGAACCGAGGGUAUUUUCGUCCAACUUGGAGCCAGGGGUUCGCUGCGGAGGAGAGAGAAAGAGGAGGCACAACUACCCCACCACCCACCUCCGCCACGUCGGACGAGGGGGGCGGUGGUAUUGCGUGUAACGGUUGCAUGUAAUUGGUGUUACACUGACAUGUUGGCCCCACAAUUUGUAGGGCCCGCUCUCUGUUUCAUAGACGUGAUAUCCAAGCGUUACAUUAUAAUAAUACGAAUAUAAAAGCAUGUUCGGUUCAUUUGUUAAGUGUGAAUUUUUUUUGUUUGUUAAUAUAUUAUUAUUAUUAUUAUUAUUUAAUAUUAAUAAUUAUUUUCUGUUUUAAAAUUAGUUUAGGUAAAAAAUUUGAGCAUUAGCAGUAAUAGCAAGAGUCUAUGUUUAGUGAGUUCUAUUUUUUGAAAAAAAGAUAAUAUGCUAUUCAUUUUAUUUAUUAGAAAGAUGAAUUAGUUGAAACAAAUUGAAUCAACUAGGGCCUCGUAGAAAACAAAUCACCCGAAAAAAAAAAAAAAGAAAAAAGUACACCAUUCAAAGGUAGAUCCCACUGAUGUUAAUCCCACAGCUGUAGCUAGCUGUUACUGUGGCGGCGAAUGGCGGGAGGGGUGAGAACCCACAGCUUCGUCCAAAGGUUAAUGGAGUGAAUUGCAGCCAGAGGGUUAGCCUGGGCCUUUCUAAAAAUUACGUCAUUCCGGACAUUCCAGGCGGACUACUAGUAAACUGCAAGUCUGGCUAAUUUAGAACGGUGGGAACGAUUUCCUUUCCGCUCCAUCCAUCUACCCCAAACAAAAAGUACAUCAUCCCCCAAAUCGUCAGGUUGGAGAUCAUCUACCGUUGGACAUAAUCAAAAACCUGGUAAAAACACAAUUCAUAUAAAGGUGAUUCACCGUUUCCUCCUCCACCCCACAUAGCGCGUAGACUGUGUUUCCGAUCUAACCUCGUUUAAGAAAAUUAUCGGCGGUAAUGUGAUUUUUCUUAAGUAUGAGCCAACAAAAGACUUUGACUUUGAGGAGAAUACUAAGUUACCAAAUCUUGUCUGCUUGGUCGUCCCUAAUGCCUCCGUUGCUCAACAUCAUAUAGGUCGACUUCACCGUGAAUUUUCUGUCCUGGCUCCAUCGCCAAAAAACACCAUCCGGCCUCUGUUCUGGUCGGAAAGCGGAUAUUCGCUCAACGAGAUCUGCGAAGCUAGGGCAUAGGCCAUACCCCGACAAAUUGAUGUCCCCUAGUAUCCUCCUCCAAUCCCAGCCAUUGCUCCCAGGCAUUGAGCGAUUUUCAAGUAGAAUUUGUUGAGGGACAAUAAUAUACCUCAAACAAGUAGAAUUUUAUUUUGUCCCAAGGAAGAAGAUCAAAAGGGGAAGGCGUAGAGACUAAAAACAAAAAGAUAAAAACACUUUAGGUUCCUCAGGUUGAUUGUAAAUCAUUACUGUAGUUAAAAAUGCUAUAAUUUAUAAGGAGUCAUUAAUUCAAAAUUUUCGUCAAAAUUUUCGACCAUCAUCACCAACAUGGGCUAUCUUGGGUCAAAAGAAGAAAAGGUCGGUACUAGACAAGCCUAAAACUCAAAUUAGGAAACAAUCACUCAAACUUUGAAAACUCAAAUUAGGAAACUAUCACCCAAACUUUGAAAAUUAUUGGUUACAAAUAUUUUUCGUUACAUAAAAAAAAGGAUAUAUGUAUAGUAUGAUGACGCAUUAUCGUUACAAUUAUUAAUUUAACCCUACAUAGUCACGAUCACUUAACUUCGCAAGCAUCUCAGUAUUACAACGGGUGUAAGGAUAGCUUUUUCCAUAUUUGCUAGCUAGUACUUUUGAAAUUACAGCUCUUCAAGAUAGAAAGGGUCAUACUCAAUUUUUUUAUAAAAAAAAGGACAUUUAGGGUUUAAGGGUUAAUUAACAAACAGGUAAUAAAUGAUUUUAAAAAGAUGUUCAUUGGUUCUUUAUAUAAUUACUUAUAAUUUUAUUUGUAUACAGUAGGAUUAUUGUGGCGAUAGGAAUCAAUCAUUAGCUAAAUGUAAAUGUUAGUAAUUGAAAGCAACGACAAGUUAUAAACUAAAGCACUUUGUAUGAGUGUACACGAACAUAUGAAAUAUUAAUUUAGACUUCAUUUAGAAAUACAUCAUGUAUGGUUAAAAAGUACGAUUUUAAAAUAUUUUGUUUAUUUUUGUAAAAGAUACUGAGUUGUAUAAUUCAUAUGCUUUCAUAGAAAAAUAAAAAAAAAAAAAUUACACUUUUAGCCUAACUAUUUUUACUUAAUAAGAUUAGAUAGUCGUCUAAAGCAAAUAGGUCCUUAAUAUAUACAUAUUUUAAAAAAGCAUAUUCAGUUUGUGAAGCAAAAAAUCAUGUAUAUUAAUAGAAAUAGAUGUGUCAUGAUUCAUGUUGUUUCAAUUAUAUAGCAUAAAUAUAUUUAAAUUAUUUUUAAAUUAUUUUCUAUCAAGAGUUGUCACAUGGGGAACAUUAUACUGAACAUAAGCUUUGGUAAAAUGCAUGGUUCACAAAAAUACAUAAGUGUCACGUUGGAAAUAGGUGUCUCCACGUAGGCGUACUAAAUCCAAUCUUAUCCACACUGUGUUGUGGUGCUCCGCGGAGGAUAUUUGGUGCAUACUAAACUGUGCCCAGAAAAUAUGUAGUGAUUUUAUGUGGCUGAGAAUAGGUCCAUGUUCCUAAUUUGUACCAAACUAGUUGCUUGUGUGCUAAAGUACACUCCUGGCUAGUAUUGUACUAUUGUGGCAAUUUUUCCUACAUUGAUAAGAUUCAAACAAGUUGUGUGAUUAAAUUAUUUGGUUGGUGGUUGGAAUCGUUGGAUUCUCUUUUUCUUUCUCCUUUUUCUUUUUUUGUCUUUCUAAGUGCAUGCGCGUGCGCGUGCAUGUACGUAUGUGCGUUCAUUUUUAUUUUUAAAUAUUUUUAAGUAAAUAAAGAUAUCUGUUGAAGCGUUUGACACAUUAAUAAAUGCCAAAUGCAUGUUCUGCUCCUUGAUAAAAAAUUUAAUAAUUUUAAAAAUAUAAAUAAUAGUUUAUAAAAUAGCACUAUAAAAAAUUAGAAAAAACUUAAUAUCCAUACAAAGCCAAUGUGAAUUGACAGCUCAUAAUUUCAUAUAAAGGAUGUAAUUAAAAUUGAAAGCUCAAUUUUAUUUUUUAUAUUAUUUUGAAUUUAUAUUAAAAUUAUGAGCAAUGCUUCAAUACACCAUAAGUAUUAAAAUCAAACUCUUAAUUAGUAAAAAGUAUAGUUGGAUUUUACAUAAAGUAACCCAUUGAACAGGUUACCGAUUUGAAUUAGUUAGUUUGAUAAUAUUGAAAAAAAAAUAGUAGUAUAUACCAAAUUUGUUGGCAUUCUAUAAUAUUAAGUAUCUUAUUUAGUUUUGUUACUUAACAAAUUAAAUAAUACCCAAUUUGUUAUCCAACUCAAAAAAAUUAUUGAAUUUAAAUUUAAGUUUUGAAGUUGGUAUUGUAAUGUAAAAUUUUAAUUUUAAAAUUUAUAUUAAACUUUUAAAUUUUGAAUCUACAUUGCACUUUUAAUCUGAAAGCCAAAUUAAAGUUUUUGAUUUAAAUUAAAAUUUUGAAUUUGAACUGAAAAUUUUAUUUUAAAUUUGUGUUUUAUAUUUAAAAGUUGAAUUUGAUUUAUAAUUUAGUUUUUUAUUUUGCUUUGUAUUUAAAUUUAUAGUUUAGUUGUAAUUUGAAUUCCAACUAUUGUUGUAGGUAUUUGAGAAGGUUAUAAUAUUCUUAGUUGGAUAAAACCAAUUUUGUAGGCCAAAAUAUUUUGCUAAGACCAAAAUAUCCUUUAAAUAGGUACCUGAUGAAUGAUACCUAUGCCAAAAUAGUAGGUCGUCUUUAGAAUCAUAUUACAUUUCAGCCAUCUAUUUAAAAAAAUAAAUGAUCAAAAUUUACAUGAUGUAUUGAAGUAUUCCUCUAAAAUUAUACAACUUUUUAAUUUGUGUGUACUUUUUUUUUCCCUGGGUAUAUAUGUGCCUGUAGAGUUGAAUGCAUUUUGAGAGAGAUUGAGAAAAUGGGAAAAUUUAAUAGAGAUACUUUAGAUACAUGGUGUGAUGAUAAGAAAAAUGCUGUUUUAUAUUUUAAGUUUUUCCACUCCUAAUCAAAACUCCUCCCCGAUAUCUGAAAGACAUAUUUUAUAUAUUAUUUAGAGUAGUCGAUAGGUAUCCCUUUUACUGAAUAAGAGGUUUCCGCUUUAAAUCAAUUACACUUGGUGGGAGAUAAUUAAGAGUGUAUAGUAUUCAUGGUCUCCCCAAUAUUGGAAACUAUACUAAUUAUCGACAAUAAUUUUUCAUCCAUGAUAAAAUAAGUAACAACAAUAGAGACAAGCAGGAGAGAGCAUAAAUAUAUAAAGAAGCAUUCAAUUUUCUCAACUGAAUGACAUUGUUAAACACUCAAAUUACAAUUGACCCUCGAAGAGAUUGAAAUGGUUACACUUUUAGUUGUGCAACUUCCAUGGAAUCCAAUUACUUUUUAAUUCCCACGGAAGCCACUCUUUAUUGUACCACUUAACCAAUGAAAGGGCCCCUUUAAAUCCCAAAAGGCCCAAAUCCCCAUUCAUCAAUCUCAGAUCCCUAAAAAAUAAGGACGCCAAUCAAUGGAUUAGAUCCUCAAAGUUAGUGAAUGCUUCAAAUUUCCCACGUGAAGAACGUGAGAACCCAAAGCCACCCUCCUAUUCCCCUCCUCAUCCACCAAGCUCAAGUCCUUGCACACGUCCACUCUAAACGCAACGUCCCCCUCCCCUCGGGGCCCCAAGAACACCUUCUCGAACCCUAGCAGGUGCUUCUUCGGCGCGUUGUGGACCGCCGGCGGGGUCGAGAACAAGAACACGGUGUGGCCCCCGGGCAUUCGGCCGGAGUUGCGGACGCGCAGUUGGACGUCGAAGGCCAGGUUCUCACACCGGCUUCCGGCCAGGUCGACCGACUUGCACCGGGACGAGUAGCACGAGUGGCCUUCUUCGAGGGGGAUAGACACCAAUUUGGGGGCCUGGACGAGGUGGUGAGUGUAGUCGGUGUAGCUCAACCCGUCGCCGAAGGAGUAGACCGUGUCGCCCGUGUAGAACCGGUAGGUCCGGCCCGGGUAGCCGGUCGACGGGUCCGGACGCAUGCGCAUGUCGGUCAUGGGGACGCUGUCGGCGAACGACUGAGGAUACCACGUCACCGGCAGCCUUCCGCCUGAAGGAAACAAAAACCAUUAAUUUGAUGAGAAUACGCGAUGACUGAUCUUUGCAACGACUACGAUUAAUUUUGAACAAAAUUUAGAUAGAGUUUCAUAGGCAAGAGGGAAGCAAUAUUAUUAGAACUUACUAGGAUUGUAUUGUCCGAAAAUGAUGUCGGUGAGCGCCGCGCCGCCGGCCUCCCCGGGAUAUCCGGCCCAGAGGAUUGCGGAGAUCUGAUCGCUGGAUUUCGCGAAGGAAAUGUCGAAGGGGCCGCCGGACAUGAUGACGAGGAUCACGGGGCCCUUGGACGCCUUCGCGACCGCGGUGAUCAGCUGGGUCUGCUGGCCGGGGAGGAGGAGGCUCACCCGGUCGAGGCUCUCCCUCUCGAUCGACUGGUCGGCCCCGACGAUUAGAACCGUGACGUCGGCUUGCGCCGCUGCCUGCUUCGCUGGGUCCAACUGCAAGCUGUUGCCGGAGCACCCGACGUCGGCGCAGCCGGGCUGGUAAACCGUGGCGACGUUGGCCGUUAGGCCCUGGAGAGGUGUGACGUAACCACACGGAGUGCCUAUAUAUAUAAUAUAUAGUUUAACAAUCGAAUUAAUUAGAAACCGAACCGCUACUAUUAUUAUGCUUUAAUGUAAGUGUUAAAUGUUAAUGACGUGUCCGCAGAACCUUCGUAGUUGCCGAUCAUGGUCUUGGUGACGUUGGCGUUGGGACCGAUUACGGCCAUUGAUUUGAUGGAGUUGGGGGAGAGCGGGAGCGCGCCGUUGAUGUUCUUCAGCAGCACGAUGCCCUGGCGCGCGGCGUCGCGGGCCAGCUCCUGGUGGGCCGGGGUGCACACGUCCUUUGGGCCCAGCCCGCCGUAGGGGAGCUUGCGCGGAUCACCGUCGAAGAAGCCCAGUCGCAUCAGCACCACGAAGUUGUUGGUGAUCGCCUUGUCCACGUCAGCCUCCUUCAGCUUCCCGCCCUGCACCGCCGCCUGAGUGUGCUGGCCCAGGAAGCUUCCGCAGUUUAGGUCGAGCCCUGCGGUAACAGUUAUGGGCCGUUACAUCGGCCCGGCCCAGUAAACGUAUUUGGCAAAAUUGCAUGGAGAACCCCCCUCAGUUGUUAGGAUUUUCCAAAUUACCAUUUUGGGCCAUAUAUGUGAGGAUUGAAUCAACACUGUUAUCAAACGAAUAAACUGUGCUGAAGCAAGUUUACCUGCCAAAAUAGUUAUUGCGGCGGCAUCUUCCGGCGUUUUUGUGUAAUGUUGUUGAUUGUAGAGCACAUCGACCGAGUCGCAGUCGGAAACAAUGUAUCUGAAAAACAAUGAGAAUAAUAUCACUCUCCACCAGUUUUGUGAGGGUUUGUUUGCUCGUACUGUACAAUAACAUGCUAUUUGAUGGUAUAUUAAAGCUUUGUCUGGUAUUAUUGUCGGCUCUUCUUUUUUUAAAAAAAAUAAAAUUUUUACAUGAAAUAGUAUUCUAUCCAAAGUGUUUGUUUCACAGGAAAAAAAAAACUUUUACUUUUUUUUAAAACAAAAUAUCAUCUAUUACUUGGCGGGCGUGUAAUGUAAUGUAAUCAAACAAAAUAACAAUAGAAAAGUAUGCAUGCCGGCAUAUUAAAUUAUAUAUAAUUGGUCUUCAAAAAUAAAAAUAAAAAAAUGACACAAUACCGAAAGAGGCCUAAAGUUGCUUCGUGGAGUGAAAUUGAAGUUUAAUUUACUUUGGAGUUUCUAUUUUUGAACCCUAAUAUCUCAAUUGUUUUUAUUGUUAACAAAAGUUUUUGACUUUUCUCUUGCCAAAUACUCUACCGAACAUGCUUAUUUUGAAAGCAAAAAUAUAUAAAAGCAAGACCAAAUUAACAUGCACAAACCAUGGCAAACAUGAUCAUGUUAAUUACAAACCUACGUUUAUAUUUCCACUUUGCUAGUUACCAUAAAUUGUGGAGGCCCAACCCAAUAGCUGGAAACUCCCUACAUACUUAAAAUAAGAUCAAAUUAAUUAAAUGAGCUAAAAAAAAUCGAUGAUUAAUUCACCACCAAUGGGUUUGGCACUUGAUGUAAAACAACUUGUCCCCAGUUAUUAUUGUUGGCUUUACAGCUACACUUGUACCCUUCUAACGCCAUAUCAAGUAUGUAGUUGUUGGUCGUUUUCACCAGAAUUUAUUGCCACAAAAACGUGGUUUUCAAGCAAACUCAAUAGAUUGAGACUUUGAUUGAUUGUGGCAUGCACGGCAAAAAUGCCUUAUGAAAAGGUAAGCUUCGUCUCGUUUUAAAUUACCUAACAUUAGAAAAAGAGAGAUGACAAAUAGAAUCCACAAUUGAUAAAUACAUAGUAUAUAUAUAUAUAUAUAUAUAUAUAUAUAUAUAUAUAUAGAUAGAUAGAUAUAUAAAU
rnacentral:lncRNA from 1 species